rnacentral:sRNA from 1 species
GGAGGCGGCGACGCCCCCCCGACUUGAGACUGACGAAAGUCAGUCUGUCGCCUCCGCGACUCAUUCUCGAUGAUGCGACCUGAUGGCGGACCGGAAACGGUCCGCCU